rnacentral:rRNA from 1 species
UAAUUCUAGAGCUAAUACAUGCUGUUAUGCCCGACUUACGAAGGGCGGUAUUUAUUAGAUAACAACCAAUAUUCUUCGUGUCUAUUGUGGUGAUUCAUAAUAACUUUCGAAUCGCACGGUCUUUGGCCGCGAUAAAUCAUUCAAGUUUCUGCCCCAUCAGCUUUCGAUGGUAGUGUAUUGGACUACCAUGGCGUUUACGGGUAACGGAGGAUUAGGGUUCGAUUCCGGAGAGGGAGCCUGAGAAACGGCUACCACAUCUAAGGAAGGCAGCAGGCGCGUAAAUUACCCAAUCCUGACUCAGGGAGGUAGUGACAAGAAAUAACGGACCGUGUCCUUCGGGAUCGGGAUUG